UACAGAGGGGGCAAGCGUUGUUCGGAAUUACUGGGCGUAAAGGGCUCGUAGGCGGCCAACUAAGUCGGACGUGAAAUCCCCAGGCUCAACCUGGGAACUGCGUCCGAUACUGGAUGGCUUGAAUCCGGGAGAGGGAUGCGGAAUUCCAGGUGUAGCGGUGAAAUGCGUAGAUAUCUGGAGGAACACCGGUGGCGAAGGCGGCAUCCUGGACCGAGAUUGACGCUGAGGCGCGAAAGCCAGGGGAGCAAACGGG
rnacentral:rRNA from 1 species